rnacentral:rRNA from 1 species
GAUGAACGCUGGCGGCGUGCCUAAUACAUGCAAGUCGAGCGAACGGACGAGAAGCUUGCUUCUCUGAUGUUAGCGGCGGACGGGUGAGUAACACGUGGAUAACCUACCUAUAAGACUGGGAUAACUUCGGGAAACCGGAGCUAAUACCGGAUGAUAUUUUGAACCGCAUGGUUCAAAAGUGAAAGACGGUCUUGCUGUCACUUAUAGAUGGAUCCGCGCUGCAUUAGCUAGUUGGUAAGGUAACGGCUUACCAAGGCAACGAUGCAUAGCCGACCUGAGAGGGUGAUCGGCCACACUGGGACUGAGACACGGCCCAGACUCCUACGGGAGGCAGCAGUAGGGAAUCUUCCGCAAUGGGCGAAAGCCUGACGGAGCAACGCCGCGUGAGUGAUGAAGGUCUUCGGAUCGUAAAACUCUGUUAUUAGGGAAGAACAUAUGUGUAAGUAACUGUGCACAUCUUGACGGUACCUAAUCAGAAAGCCACGGCUAACUACGCG